AUUGAACGCUGGCGGCAGGCCUAACACAUGCAAGUCGCACGAGUGGCGGACGGGUGAGUAAUGUCGGGGACACUGCCUGAUGGAGGGGGAUAACUACUGGAAACGGUAGCUAAUCCCGCAUACCAUCGGAUGUGCCCAGAUGGGAUUAGCUAGUCGGGGGGGUAACGGCUCACCAAGGCGACGAGCCCUAGCUGGUCUGAGAGGAUGACCAGACACACGGGAACUGACACACGGUCCAGACUCCUACGGGAGGCAGCAGGGGGGAAUAGUGCACAAUGGGCGCAAGUCUGAUGGAGCCAUGCCGCGUGUAUGAAGAAGGUCUUCGGGUUGUAAAGUACUUUCAGCGGGGAGGCGUUACCCGAAGAAGAAGCACCGGCUAACUCCGUGCCAGCAGCCGCGGUAAUAC
rnacentral:rRNA from 1 species